UAAUACGAGGGGGGCAAGUGUUGUUCGGAAUCACUGGGCGUAAAGGGAGCGUAGGCGGAUGUUUAAGUCGGGUGUUUAAAACCGGGGCCCAACCCCGGAGCGGCACCCGAAACUGGGCAUCUUGAAUAGGUCAGAGGCUGGUGGAAUUGGAGGUGUAGCGGUGGAAUGCGUAGAGAUCUCCAAGAACACCUAUUGCGAAGGCAGCCAGCUGGGACCAUAUUGACGCUGAGGCUCGAAAGCAUGGGGAGCAAACAGGAUUAGAUACCCUGGUAGUCCAUGCCGUAAACGAUGAACACUAGGUUUUGGGCUCGUCAACGGUCCAGAGCCGCAGCUAACGCGUUAAGUGUUCCGCCUGGGGAAUACGGUCGCAAGACUG
rnacentral:rRNA from 1 species